AACGUAGGUACCGAGCGUUAUCCGGAUUUACUGGGCGUAAAGCGCACGUAGGCGGCUCGUUAAGUUGGGGGUGAAAUCCUGGAGCUCAACUCCAGAACUGCCUUCAAUACUGGCGAUCUAGAGUCCGGAAGAGGUGAGUGGAACUCCUAGUGUAGAGGUGGAAUUCGUAGAUAUUAGGAAGAACACCAGUGGCGAAGGCGGCUCACUGGUCCGGUACUGACGCUGAGGUGCGAAAGCGUGGGGAGCAAACAGG
rnacentral:rRNA from 1 species